UGUGUCACGGUUCACAGAUGGCAGGAGCGCUCGUCCAGGUGGUCGGCUCGCCGCCUCCCCUUCUGCCCCCGCCGCGCCGCGUGUCCCGCCGCUUCUCCUCCUCCUCCUCCUCUGGCUCUCCCCGCCUCUCCGCUGCCGUGAUAUAGCCACGGGCUUCCUCCGAGAAGAGCGCGUCGCAGGCGAGGCGAGGCGAGGGGUCGGGGAAGGGAAGGGAAGAGGAUGUCGCUGGGGGCGGUGUUCCACGGCGCGCAGCUGAUGCUGGAUCUGGCGGUGGCCGGGAUGUCGCUGAUGUUCGCGCUCGGCCUCUUCGCCGUCGUCACCACCGUGCUCUGCUCCGCCGCCUUCCUCCACCACUCCAAGCCCGUCGCGUCGUAGCCGCGAGCUGCCUCCCACCAGGCCCACGACCCCCUCGGCGCAUCCUAAUCGAGUGAGAUUGCUGUUGGGAGGUAAUACCUUCUUUUGCAUCAUUUGCCCAGCAGAAGGUGCUCCAUAUGCUACUGCUGCUAGUACUGUUGGGAGGGAACUACUGUAGACGCAAAGAGUAGGAAUUGCACAUAUCAGGUGAUAGCUGGAGGCUCUUGUACCUUGUAUUACUUGUCAUGUCUACUUAAGCUGUUCUGUAAACUACACUUGUUUGUACAGUACAUUGUUGGUUCGUCUUGUUGAAAUCUUCUACAUCUUAUUGUUUAUAAAUGUACUGUACAUUGUCUAA